rnacentral:rRNA from 1 species
GCGCAGCAGGCGCGAAUACUUUACAAUGUGCGAAAGCACGAUAAGGGAACUCUGAGUGCCUCCUAAGGAGGCUGUUCAGGUGUCUAAAAGCACCUGGAGUAAGGGCUGGGUAAGACCGGUGCCAGCCGCCGCGGUAACACCGGCAGCCCAGGUGGUAGCCACUUUUAUUGGGUCUAAAGCGUCCGUAGCCGGUUGAGUAAGUUCCUUGGGAAAUUUGGCUGCUCAACAGUCAAGCUUCCAGGGAAUACUGCUCGACUUGGGGACUGGGAGAGGUCAGAGGUACUCCAGGGGUAGGGUGAAAUCCAUUAAUCCCUGGGGGACCACCGGUAGCGAAGGCGUCUGACCAGACCAGGUCCGACGGUGAGGGACGAAGGCUAGGGUCGCGAACCGGAUUAGAUA